GGAAUCUUGGACAAUGGGGGCAACCCUGAUCCAGCGACGCCGCGUGGGUGAUGAAGGCCUUCGGGUUGUAAAGCCCUUUCGACGGGGACGAUGAUGACGGUACCCGGCGAAGAAGCACAGGCUAACUCCGUGCCAGCAGCCGCGGUAAGACGGAGGGUGCUAGCGUUGUUCGGAAUCACUGGGCGUAAAGGGCGCGUAGGCGGCUUUGGCAGUCGGCUCGUGAAAGCCCGGGGCUCAACCCCGGAGGUGCGGCCGAUACACCGAGGCUUGAGGCCGGAAGAGGAGGGUGGAAUACCCAGUGUAGAGGUGAAAUUCGUAGAUAUCGGGAGGAACACCAGUGGCGAAGGCGGCUCUCUGGACCAAGACUGACGCUGAGGCGCGAAAGCGUGGGGAGCAAAC
rnacentral:rRNA from 1 species